rnacentral:rRNA from 1 species
CCUACGGGGGGCUGCAGUGGGGAAUCUUCCGCAAUGGGCGAAAGCCUGACGGAGCAACGCCGCGUGAGUGAGGAAGGCCUUCGGGUCGUAAAACUCUGUCUUCAGGGAAGAAAAAAAUGACGGUACCUGAGGAGGAAGCCCCGGCUAACUACGUGCCAGCAGCCGCGGUAAAACGUAGGGGGCGAGCGUUGUCCGGAAUUACUGGGCGUAAAGGGCGCGUAGGCGGUUAUUUAAGUCAGAGGUGAAAACUACCGGCUCAACCGGUAGCCUGCCUUUGAAACUGGAUGACUUGAGGGCAGGAGAGGGGAGUGGAAUUCCCAGUGUAGCGGUGAAAUGCGUAGAUAUUGGGAGGAACACCAGUGGCGAAGGCGGCUCUCUGGCCUGUUUCUGACGCUGAGGCGCGAAAGCGUGGGGAGCAAACGGGCUUAGAUACCCCGGUAGUC